rnacentral:rRNA from 1 species
UACGGAGGUGCAAACGUUGCUCGGAAUCAUUGGGCGUAAAGCGCACGUAGGCGGACCGCUAAGUCGGAUGUGAAAGCCUCGGCUUAACCGAGGAAGUGCAUUCGAAACUGACAGUCUUGAGUAUGGAAGAGGGUCGCGGAAUUCCCGGUGUAGAGGUGAAAUUCGUAGAUAGUCGGGAGGAACACCAGUGGCGAAGGCGGCG